AUUGAACGCUGGCAGCAUGCCUUACACAUGCAAGUCGAACGGCAGCGGACCUUCGGGUGCCGGCGAGUGGCGAACGGGUGAGUAAUGUAUCGGAACGUACCUUUCAGUGGGGGAUAACGUAGCGAAAGUUACGCUAAUACCGCAUAUUCUGUGAGCAGGAAAGCAGGGGAUCGCAAGACCUUGCGCUGAUCGAGCGGACGAUAGCAGAUUAGCUAGUUGGUGAGGUAAAGGCUCACCAAGGCGACGAUCUGUAGCGGGUCUGAGAGGAUGAUCCGCCACACUGGAACUGAGACACGGUCCAGACUCCUACGGGAGGCAGCAGUGGGGAAUUUUGGACAAUGGGGGCAACCCUGAUCCAGCCAUGCCGCGUGAGUGAAGAGGGCCUUCGGGUUGUAAAGCUCUUUCGUCCGGGAAGAAAUCGCAUCAGCUAAUACCUGGUGUGGAUGACGGUACCGGAAUAAGAAGCACCGGCUAACUACGUGCCAGCCGCCGCGGUAAAAC
rnacentral:rRNA from 1 species